GACGAACGCUGGCGGCGUGCUUAACACAUGCAAGUCGAACGGAAAGGCCCUGCUUUUGUGGGGUGCUCGAGUGGCGAACGGGUGAGUAACACGUGAGUAACCUGCCCUUGACUUUGGGAUAACUUCAGGAAACUGGGGCUAAUACCGGAUAGGAGCUCCUGCUGCAUGGUGGGGGUUGGAAAGUUUCGGCGGUUGGGGAUGGACUCGCGGCUUAUCAGCUUGUUGGUGGGGUAGUGGCUUACCAAGGCUUUGACGGGUAGCCGGCCUGAGAGGGUGACCGGCCACAUUGGGACUGGGAUACGGCCCAGACUCCUACGGGAGGCAGCAGUGGGGAAUAUUGCACAAUGGGCGGAAGCCUGAUGCAGCAACGCCGCGUGCGGGAUGACUGCCUUCGGGUUGUAAACCGCUUUCGCCUGUGACGAAGCGUGAGUGACGGUAAUGGGUAAAAAAGCACCGGCUAACUACGUG
rnacentral:rRNA from 1 species